CAGUCGCCGCGGUAAUACGAAGGGUGCAAGCGUUAAUCGGAAUUACUGGGCGUAAAGCGUGCGUAGGCGGUUUGUUAAGUCUGCUGUGAAAUCCCCGGGCUCAACCUGGGAAUGGCAGUGGAUACUGGCAAGCUAGAGUGUGUCAGAGGAUGGUGGAAUUCCCGGUGUAGCAGUGAAAUGCGUAGAGAUCGGGAGGAACAUCAGUGGCGAAGGCGGCCAUCUGGGACAACACUGACGCUGAGGCACGAAAGCGUGGGGAGCAAACAGGAUUAGAUACCCCCGUAGUCCCUGUCUCUUAUAC
rnacentral:rRNA from 1 species